rnacentral:lncRNA from 1 species
ACUGAUAAUGUGGGCCGGUGCACCAUGUCAGCAACGUCGACGGCCUGACAGGCCAUUUUCCAACUAGGCCUAUUGUAAAUGACGAGACCAUGAGGAUGUAAUCAGUAAUAUUGCUCCUGGUAUAGUUAUUUAGUAAAUUUAUAAGUUUCUCCUUUUGGAGUUUACUUCUACGAGUGCUCACUCCCUGCAUCUUGUUCUGUUUUUUGUUCUAUUUUUCAGAAAAUGAAGAUGUACUUUGCCGUUCCACUAAUCUCGGCAAAAGAGUAGAUUAUGGUGCCCUUUGUGCUAUAGUGGAAUUGAAU